rnacentral:rRNA from 1 species
UACAGAGGUGGCAAGCGUUGUUCGGAAUUACUGGGCGUAAAGGGCGCGUAGGCGGCCCGAUAAGUCCCGCGUGAAAUCCCCCGGCUCAACCGGGGAACUGCGCGGGAAACUGUCGAGCUUGAGUUCGGGAGAGGGAAGCGGAAUUCCGGGUGUAGCGGUGAAAUGCGCAGAUAUCCGGAGGAACACCGGUGGCGAAGGCGGCUUCCUGGACCGACACUGACGCUGAGGCGCGAAAGCUAGGGGAGCAAACGGG